GUCCCCAUCGUCUAGAGGCCUAGGACACCGGGUUUUCAUCCCGGCGACAGGGGUUCGACUCCCCUUGGGGACG
rnacentral:tRNA from 1 species